rnacentral:rRNA from 1 species
AGCGGAGGAAAAGAAACCAACAGGGAUUGCCUCAGUAACGGCGAGUGAAGCGGCAACAGCUCAAAUUUGAAAUCUGGCUCUUUCAGGGUCCGAGUUGUAAUUUGUAGAGGAUGCUUCGGGUGUGGCUCCGGUCUAAGUUCCUUGGAACAGGACGUCAUAGAGGGUGAGAAUCCCGUAUGUGACUGGUUGCCUAUGCUCAUGUGAAGCUCCUUCGACGAGUCGAGUUGUUUGGGAAUGCAGCUCAAAAUGGGUGGUAAAUUUCAUCUAAAGCUAAAUAUUGGCCAGAGACCGAUAGCGCACAAGUAGAGUGAUCGAAAGAUGAAAAGCACUUUGGAAAGAGAGUUAAACAGUACGUGAAAUUGUUGAAAGGGAAGCGCUUGCAACCAGACUUGCACGUAGUUAAUCAACCGGUGUUCUCACUGGUGCACUUGAUUACGUUCAGGCCAGCAUCGGUUUCGGUGGUUGGAUAAAGGCCGGGGGAAUGUGGCUUCUUUCGGGGAGUGUUAUAGCCCUCGGUGCAAUGCAGCCUACCGGGACCGAGGACCGCGCUUCGGCUAGGAUGCUGGCGUAAUGGUUGUAAGCGACCCGUCUUGAAACACGGACCAAGGAGUCUAACAUCUAUGCGAGUGUUUGGGUGUUAAACCCAUACGCGUAAUGAAAGUGAACGGAGGUGAGAACCCUUAAGGGUGCAUCAUCGACCGAUCCUGAUGUCUUCGGAUGGAUUUGAGUAAGAGCAUAGCUGUUGGGACCCGAAAGAUGGUGAACUAUGCCUGAAUAGGGUGAAGCCAGAGGAAACUCUGGUGGAGGCUCGCAGCGGUUCUGACGUGCAAAUCGAUCGUCAAAUUUGGGUAUAGGGGCGAAAGACUAAUCGAACCAUCUAGUAGCU